ensembl:lncRNA
CAUCUGGCAGGGGCCUAGCCGGCGCUCCCCUCAGCAUGCAUGCACCUGCAGGUACUCAUGCAUUCAACGUGCCUCCAAGCCCUGGAAAGGGGAAAAGGUGUGGAAAGAGAGAGGUGCGUGGUCAGGGAGCAGCCCCAUGUGCGGGUGAAACAUCUCUGAAAAACUCCGUCAAAAGGACCAAAUGAGCAUCUCACGUGGAGAUGGAAGAGGGAUGUGGUCCAGACGCUGUGGGCAGCGUCCCUAGUCACGGUGUCCAUAGGCUGCGACCCAGAAGCACAAUUUUAUGGGCUCUUCACUGAUGUAUCCCCAGGCCCCAGAAUGCUGCCUAGGUUACAAAUAAAGUUGAUUAAAAGACAGUCGCACAAUAUGGCACCCACCUUGUGAAGUACGACAUUUCCAACCACUGUCAGAAACGUGGAAGUUUAAAGGAAAGCUCUAUCAAGUCACGAGAUAAGCCCCAAGCACCCAAAAGGCUACAAAACUCAGCCGUCUCCAUGCCCUGGACCUGGCUCAGUUCUCGGGAUCUGGUUUCAAGAUUCAUCUACCAUCUUCCCAAGUAUUGAUCAAGGACAGCGUUCUUCUACCACAGUUGGGCUCCGUAUUGAUUGUCGGGGGAUCUGCUCUAUUCGACCUCUGCAGAUGAGAAAAAUGAUUACGUAUGGAAUCUACCAGGUGGCGGUAGUGGUAAAGAAUCCACCUGUCAAUGCAGGAGACAUUAGAGACAUGGGUCAGGAAGAUCCCCUGGAGAAAAGCAUGGCAGCCUACUCCAGUGUUCUUGCCUGGAGAAUCCCAUGGGCAGAGGAGCCUGGAAGGCUACAAUCCAUAGGGUCACAAGGAGUAGGACACGACUGAAGUGACUUAGCAUGCACACAUGACUGAGGGGUGUGUGUGUGUGUGUGUGUGUGUGUGUGUGUGUGUGUGUGUGUUUCUCUUUAUAAAAAUUGGAAUACAUAUUCUAAGUAUUUAUGUUAUGAUGAGAUUUUGAACGGAGGCACAGGACUAACCACUGUCAUAAACAUUCAGUUUUCAAAGUCACUGCAUCUGAAUCAGAGACACACCUGAAUGAUCACUACUCUCUCUGUAAAC